rnacentral:rRNA from 1 species
GGAUUAGAUACCCUGGUAGUCCACGCCGUAAACGAUGUCUACUAGGAGCUCGGCUUUUCGGAGCUGUUUUCCAAAGCAAACGCAUUAAGUAGACCGCCUGGGGAGUACGGCCGCAAGGUUAAAACUCAAAUGAAUUGACGGGGGCCCGCACAAGCGGUGGAGCAUGUGGUUUAAUUCGAUGCAACGCGAAGAACCUUACCUACACUUGACAUCCAGAGAACUUUCUAGAGAUAGAUUGGUGCCUUCGGGAACUCUGAGACAGGUGCUGCAUGGCUGUCGUCAGCUCGUGCCG